rnacentral:rRNA from 1 species
UACGAACCGUGCGAACGUUAUUCGGAAUCACUGGGCUUAAAGCGCGUGUAGGCGGAUCGCCGCGUCGGCUGCUGAAAUCCCCCGGCUCAACCGGGGAACGGGCACCGAUACGGGCGGUCUCGAGGGGGGUAGGGGGGUCUGGAACUUCCGGUGGAGCGGUGAAAUGCGUUGAGAUCGGAAGGAACGCCCGUGGCGAAAGCGAGGCCCUGGACCCUUACUGACGCUGAGACGCGAAAGCCAGGGGAGCGAACGGG